CAGGAUGAACGCUAGCUACAGGCUUAACACAUGCAAGUCAAGGGCAGCAUAUCGAAGCUUGCUUGAUAGAUGGCGACCGGCGCACGGGUGAGUAACGCGUAUCCAACCUUCCCAUCACUCAGGGAUAGCCCGCCGAAAGGCGAAUUAAUACCUGAUGGUCUCCUUCGCGGACAUCUAACGAGGAGUAAAGAUUUAUUGGUGAUGGAUGGGGAUGCGUCUGAUUAGGUAGUAGGCGGGGUAACGGCCCACCUAGCCGACGAUCAGUAGGGGUUCUGAGAGGAAGGUCCCCCACAUUGGAACUGAGACACGGUCCAAACUCCUACGGGAGGCAGCAGUGAGGAAUAUUGGUCAAUGGACGGAAGUCUGAACCAGCCAAGUAGCGUGCAGGAUGACGGCCCUAUGGGUUGUAAACUGCUUUUGUGCGGGAAUAAAGUUUGGGACGUGUCCCAUUUUGCAUGUACCGCACGAAUAAGGACCGGCUAAUUCCGUGCCAGCCGCCGC
rnacentral:rRNA from 1 species